rnacentral:tRNA from 1 species
GCCUCGGUAGCUCGAUGGUUAGCGCGUCGAUCUAGCAACUCGGGGAUCGUGGGUUCGAAUCUCCACCUCGGAUG